rnacentral:rRNA from 1 species
UAGAGGAAGUAAAAGUCGUAACAAGGUCUCCGUUGGUGAACCAGCGGAGGGAUCAUUACCGAGUUUACAACUCCCAAACCCAAAUGUGAACAUACCCAAUUGUUGCUUCGGCGGACUCGCCCCAGCGUCCGGACGACCUCGCGUCGCCCGCGGCCUGGAUCCAGGCGGCCGCCGGGGAAAACCAAAACUCUUUGUAUUAUAUAUUCUUCUGAAUGAGCCGCAAGGCAACAAAAAUGAAUCAAAACUUUCAACAACGGAUCUCUUGGUUCUGGCAUCGAUGAAGAACGCAGCGAAAUGCGAUAAGUAAUGUGAAUUGCAGAAUUCAGUGAAUCAUCGAAUCUUUGAACGCACAUUGCGCCCGGCAGCAUUCUGCCGGGCAUGCCUGUUCGAGCGUCAUUUCAACCCUCGAGCUCCCUUUGGGGAGCACGGUGUUGGGGACCGGCAGCACACUGAGCCGACCCCGAAAUGGAGUGGCGGCCCGUCCGCGGCGACCUCUGCGUAGUAAUUAUCACCUCGCACCGGGAACCCGACGUGGCCACGCCUCAAAACAACCCAAUUUCUGAACGUUGACCUCGGAUCAGGUAGGAAUACCCGCUGAACUUAAGCAUAUCA